rnacentral:rRNA from 1 species
AAAGGAAUAGACGGGAGCCCGCACAAGCAGUGGAGUAUGUGGUUUAAUUCGACGCAACGCGAAGAACCUUACCGGAGCUUGACAUCCACGGAAGACCGAUGUAAAGUUGGUUGUGCCCUUCGGGGAGCCGUGAGACAGGUGGUGCAUGGUUGUCGUCAGCUCGUGUCGUGAGAUGUUGGGUUAAGUCCCGCAACGAGCGCAACCCUUACGGUUAGUUGCUACGCAAGAGCACUCUAGCCGGACUGCCGUUGACAAAACGGAGGAAGGUGGGGACGACGUCAAAUCAUCAUGCCCCUUACGUUCCGGGCGACACACGUACUACAAUGGCGCGAACAAAGGGAAGCCAAGCCGCGAGGCGGAGCAAAUCCCAUAAAAUGCGUCCCAGUUCGGACUGCAGGCUGCAACCCGCCUGCACGAAGUUGGAAUUGCUAGUAAUCGCGGAUCAGCAUGCCGCGGUGAAUACGUUCCCGGGCUUUGUACACACCGCCCGU